UACGGAGGGUGCAAGCGUUAUUCGGAAUUACUGGGCGUAAAGCGCACGUAGGCGGCCUUGUAAGUCAGGGGUGAAAUCCCACGGCUCAACCGUGGAACUGCCUUUGAAACUGCAGGGCUCGAAUCCUGGAGAGGGUGGCGGAAUUCCUGGUGUAGGAGUGAAAUCCGUAGAUAUCAGGAGGAACACCGGUGGCGAAGGCGGCCACCUGGACAGGUAUUGACGCUGAGGUGCGAAAGUGUGGGGAGCAAACAGGAUUAGAUACCCUGGUAGUCCCUGA
rnacentral:rRNA from 1 species